CAUAAGGAUAAUUAAAGUCUAAAUUUAAUUUUAAUUAUAGUAUUAAAUCAUUAAUUUAUCUAAUUAAUAUAUUUAAAUCAUUAUCUAUUACUUAAAUAAUAAAAUAAUUAAUUAAUUUAUUAUUUAUAAUUAAUUAGCUAAUUAAUUAUUAAUAAUUUAAUGUGUUUAUUCAUAAACUAAUAUUUAUAUUGAUCAACCAUUAAUAUUUUUAUCAUCUAAUUAAUUUUUUACUAGUUCCAUAAUUAAAAUAAUUUAUUAACUAAUUAAAAAGAUAAAUUAUUUUUUAUAAUUAAUUAAUUAAUUAAUAUAUUUUUAUUAUCUUAUACAAUAUUCAUAGCUAAUAAAUUUAUUGAUUUAUUAAAUAAUUUUUAAUUAAUAUUUUGAUGUUAAUUAAUUAGAUAAAAUAUUUUUAAUUUAAAAUUAUAUCUCAUAUUCCACUUAUUCUAAUCUAACCAUCCAAACAUUAGUUAUUUUAUUACUAGAAACAAUCUAAUUUUUAUCAAAAUGCAAAAUUAAUUUAAUUCCUACUUAUAUUAUAUCUGAGCUUAUAUUUGUUACUGAAAUAAAUAAUUUUUACUUAUAUUUGAACCAAACACAACUAACAUCAAACUAAGAAUUUC
rnacentral:lncRNA from 1 species